AUCUCCACCGCACCACCUCUCGCUUCCAAUGGCGCCGCCGUCGCGUCCUUUCAAUGGAGCUAAAGGGGACAUCACCGGCGACCAGCCGAGCCUUAUGGGGAUGCUCCUCUGCUCUCUCCCUAACUCGCGGAUGUCCUCUUCAGCUCCUGCUCCGCGGCAACAGUCAAGGGGAAUAGCCGGAGACGAGCCGAGCCCUGCGUGACUGCUCCCUUCCCAAUCCCAGCGACGACCUCUUCGGCCUCUGCUCCCCCGCUUCCUCCUCUUCUCCCCCCAGGUAUGCAAACUCCUCUCCCAGAUUAGCUCAGGAUGUAAAUGGCACUGGGCUCUGGAUAUGUGCUCGUGUGAUGAAUCUGCUUGACUGCACGGUGAAUGGUAGAUAGCAAUAUCAUCCGAAUUACUUGUGUUUUGCUUUACUUGUACUAGCACACGAAUCAGUUAUAAGACAGUGAUGAUCUUUUUAUACGGAAACAGUUAGAAAGGUCUAUGAAAGGGUGAGAUCUUGUGUUUUGCUAUGUUGUGUUGAAAUCAGUUAUGUAUGCACCUUCAGUCUAUCUAUCUGUAAUCCAUAUCAAUUCAUCUUUGAAUUAGUAGCACCUGGAUACACACAGUGUUUCAGAAUUGUUCGCCGACUCAGCGUCCAAAUUUUGCUUCAAGGAUAAUCUCGAGAUGCAUUUGAUUCAAACUUGUUUCUAGGGCUGUAAGUAGAUGUGUGAUUAUUUCAUGGAACAGCUAGCUAGUACUGAAGAUUGUGGAGAUGAGGGUGGGACGGUCCGCUGAAUUCCUGACAUAUAAGUAGUUAGAGUAAUGGACUGUAUUUUUGGUCAUACAUGUCUCAAGGUUGCCUGAAAAUAUAAUCUAAUUCAAGUGUGCAAUUUAUAUUUCUCGACUCAGAUUCACACUGUUUGAAUUUGUUUUGCUGUUUAAAUCUUUUGUAAAAAAUUGUCCAAACCUGUCGACGCGACUAUAGAAGUAGACUGAACAACAAGACUGUCGAAGCCUUGAUCUGCCUCCAAAAUUGGUAUAGAUCUGAUGUUCAAUGUCUAGAUUCUAGAAUAUAUUUACCGAACUUGAAUUUUCUUUCCAUGCUUCUAAGCAAGUACGUGAAAACUGAAAAAGAGAAAGAUUGAGUCUAUUUGCUCUGCUUGGCUGCACUAUUUGAGUCUUUGAGAGCAGUUAAUUUAGUUUCACUGCCCAGCAAAGUUUGAUAGGUAUAUUAAUACCUAUGAACUGUAGUUUAAUUGUGUGAACCAUGCCAACUUUUGCAGAUGCAGACUCAGGUUGAGGCAUACAUGAUAGGAUGGAAGAGUUGCUGGAGUGGUAGAUCGAAGCAUACAUUUCAUCUGCAAAAAAAUGUUUGAUUCAUGGUGCAAGUUGCUGUUGCUUUGUGGAUUUUGCUCUUUCUUCUACUAUGAAAGUAUGGAUUUUAUCCUGUAGUUUAAUUAUUAUCUGAGAGAGUGUAAGCUGCAGAUAAAUGUUUAAUCUCAAGAGAGAUUCGAAGUAUUUUUAUCUGAAAAAGUCUAUUUUGUUGCAGUAUAUGGACAAUAUUUUUAUCUCAGAAAGUAUAUUUUUUCUGAAGAGAGAUUUAGAGUAUUUUAAUAUGAGAAAGUAUGAAUGUUGCAGUA
rnacentral:lncRNA from 1 species